rnacentral:rRNA from 1 species
ACGGCCACACCACGUUAAAACACCGGUUCCCCGUACGAUCGCCGAAGUUAAGCAACACUGAGCAUCGUCAGUACCUAGAUGGGUGACCGCUUGGAAUACCAGGUGCUGUAAG